GGUAUAGCUCAGUUGGCUAGAGCGCUAGAUUGUGGCUCUAGAGGUCAAGGGUUCAAUUCCCUUUACC
rnacentral:tRNA from 1 species